rnacentral:rRNA from 1 species
GGGUUGUGAGGUUAAGCGACUAAGCGUACACGGUGGAUGCCCUGGCAGUCAGAGGCGAUGAAGGGCGUGCUAAUCUGCGAUAAGCGCCGGUAAGGUGAUAUGAACCGUUAUAACCGGCGAUACCCGAAUGGGGAAACCCAGUGUGAUUCGUCACACUAUCAUUAACUGAAUCCAUAGGUUAAUGAGGCGAACCGGGGGAACUGAAACAUCUAAGUACCCCGAGGAAAAGAAAUCAACCGAGAUUCCCCCAGUAGCGGCGAGCGAACGGGGAGGAGCCCAGAGCCUGAAUCAGCAUGUGUGUUAGUGGAAGCGUCUGGAAAGGUGCGCGAUACAGGGUGACAGCCCCGUACACAAAAGCGCAUGUGCUGUGAGCUCGAUGAGUAGGGCGGGACACGUGGUAUCCUGUCUGAAUAUGGGGGGACCAUCCUCCAAGGCUAAAUACUCCUGACUGACCGAUAGUGAACCAGUACCGUGAGGGAAAGGCGAAAAGAACCCCGGCGAGGGGAGUGAAAAAGAACCUGAAACCGUGUACGUACAAGCAGUGGGAGCACCCUUCGGGGUGUGACUGCGUACCUUUUGUAUAAUGGGUCAGCGACUUAUAUUCUGUAGCAAGGUUAACCGUAUAGGGGAGCCGGAGGGAAACCGAGUCUUAA